rnacentral:rRNA from 1 species
AACGAACGCUGGCGGCAGGCCUAACACAUGCAAGUCGAGCGCGCCCUUCGGGGUGAGCGGCGGACGGGUGAGUAACGCGUGGGAACGUGCCCUUUUCUACGGAAUAGCCUCGGGAAACUGAGAGUAAUACCGUAUACGCCCUUUGGGGGAAAGAUUUAUCGGAAAAGGAUCGGCCCGCGUUGGAUUAGGUAGUUGGUGGGGUAAUGGCCUACCAAGCCGACGAUCCAUAGCUGGUUUGAGAGGAUGAUCAGCCACACUGGGACUGAGACACGGCACAGACUCCUACGGGAGGCAGCAGUGGGGAAUCUUAGACAAUGGGGGCAACCCUGAUCUAGCCAUGCCGCGUGAGUGAUGAAGGCCUUAGGGUUGUAAAGCUCUUUCAGCUGGGAAGAUAAUGACGGUACCAGCAGAAGAAGCCCCGGCUAACUCCGUG